rnacentral:rRNA from 1 species
GGCCGCGGGAAUUCGAUUCAGGCCUAACACAUGCAAGUCGAACGGAGUAAUUCCUUCGGGGAUUACUUAGUGGCGAACGGGUGAGUAACGCGUGAGGAACCUACCUUUCAGUGGGGGACAACAGUUGGAAACGACUGCUAAUACCGCAUAAUGUAUUUGAGGGGCAUCCCUUGGAUACCAAAGAUUUAUUGCUGAAAGAUGGCCUCGCGUCUGAUUAGCUAGUUGGUGGGGUAACGGCCUACCAAGGCGACGAUCAGUAGCCGGACUGAGAGGGUGAACGGCCACAUUGGGACUGAGAUACGGCCCAGACUCCUACGGGAGGCAGCAGUGGGGAAU